GCAACGAGCGCAACCCUGCUGCCAGUUGCCAACGGUGGAAGCCGGGCACUCUGGCGGGACGUGCCAUCGACAAGAUGGAGGAAGGUGGGGAGUGACGUCAAGUCAUCAUGGCCCUUAUGUCCAGGGCGACACACGUGCUACAAUGGCCGGCACAGCGGGAAGCGAGGCAGUGAUGCCAAGCGGAUCCCUUAAAGCCGGUCUCAGUUCGGAUUGAAGUCUGCAACUCGACUUCAUGAAGCUGGAAUCGCUAGUAAUCGCAGAUCAGCCAAGCUGCGGUGAAUACGUUCCCGGGCCUU
rnacentral:rRNA from 1 species